rnacentral:rRNA from 1 species
GANCAGCNUGCCGCGUGCAGGAUGAAGGCCNUCGGGUUGUAAACNGCUUUUGUACGGAANGAAAAGCCUGGGGCUAAUANCCCCGGGUCAUGACGGUACCGUAAGAAUAAGCACCGGCUAACUACGUGCCAGCAGCCGCGGUAAUACGUAGGGUGCAAGCGUUAAUCGGAAUUACUGGGCGUAAAGCGUGCGCAGGCGGUUUUGUAAGACAGUGGUGAAAUCCCCGGGCUCAACCUGGGAACUGCCAUUGUGACUGCAAGGCUAGAGUGCGGCAGANGGGGAUGGAAUUCCGCGUGUAGCAGUGAAAUGCGUAGAUAUGCGGAGGAACACCGAUGGCGAAGGCAAUCCCCUGGGCCUGCACUGACGCUCAUGCACGAAAGCGUGGGGAGCAAACAGGAUUAGAUACCCUGGUAGUCCACGCCCUAAACGAUGUCAACUGGUUGU